rnacentral:rRNA from 1 species
GAUGAACGCUGGCGGCGUGCCUAAUACAUGCAAGUCGAGCGAACGGAUGAGAAGCUUGCUUCUCUGAUGUUAGCGGCGGACGGGUGAGUAACACGUGGAUAACCUACCUAUAAGACUGGGAUAACUUCGGGAAACCGGAGCUAAUACCGGAUAAUAUUUUGAACCGCAUGGUCCAAAAGUGAAAGACGGUCUUGCUGUCACUUAUAGAUGGAUCCGCGCUGCAUUAGCUAGUUGGUAAGGUAACGGCUUACCAAGGCAACGAUGCAUAGCCGACCUGAGAGGGUGAUCGGCCACACUGGAACUGAGACACGGUCCAGACUCCUACGGGAGGCAGCAGUAGGGAAUCUUCCGCAAUGGGCGAAAGCCUGACGGAGCAACGCCGCGUGAGUGAUGAAGGUCUUCGGAUCGUAAAACUCUGUUAUUAGGGAAGAACAUAUGUGUAAGUAACUGUGCACAUCUUGACGGUACCUAAUCAGAAAGCCACGGCUAACUACGUG